GACGAACGCUGGCGGCGUGCCUAAUACAUGCAAGUCGAGCGAUGAAGAUCGGUGCUUGCGCCGAUUUGGAGAGCCGCACACGGGUGAGUAACGCGUGGGGCCUCUGCCUUUGAGCGGGGGAACACCUUUGGAAACGAAUGCUAAUCCCGCAUAACAACUUUCAACAUAAGUUUGAAGUGUGAAAGAUGCAAUUGCAUGACUCAAAGAUGAUCCCGCGUUGUAUUAGCUAGGUAGUGAGGUACGAGCUCACCAAGGCGUUGAUACGUAGACGACCUGAGAGGGUGGUAGGCCGCAUUGGGACUGAGACACGGCCCUUACGCCUGCGGGACGCAGCAGUAGGGAAUCGGCGGCAAUAGUCGGGAGUCUGACCGAGCAACGCCGCGUGAGUGGAGGAGGUGUUCGGAUCGUAAAACUCUGUUGGUAGUGGAGAACGGUUGUGGGCGUGGACAGAGCAUGAAGUGAGGGUAUCGAUACAGAAGGAGACGGCAAACUACGU
rnacentral:rRNA from 1 species